rnacentral:rRNA from 1 species
UACGGAGGGUGCGAGCGUUGCUCGGAAUUACUGGGCGUAAAGCGUACGCAGGCUGUCUCAUAAGACGGGUGUGAAAGCCCGGGGCUCAACCCCGGAAUUGCGCCCGUGACUGUGGGGCUUGAAUGCGGGAGAGGGAAGCGGAAUUCCUGGUGUAGAGGUGAAAUUCGUAGAUAUCAGGAGGAACACCGGUGGCGAAAGCGGCUUCCUGGCCCGACAUUGACGCUCAUGUACGAGAGCGUGGGGAGCAAACAGG